GCGCUCUUGGCGCAGUGGUAGCGCGUGUCUCUCCUACACGCAUACGUAUUGAAACGUGUAAACAUUCUCCCCAAGACGAGGUCGUGGGUUCGACCCCCACAGGGCGCU
rnacentral:tRNA from 1 species